rnacentral:pre_miRNA from 1 species
ACAACAUUCGGACCGUCGGUAUAGCGAGCAAUAUCACUCGCUCGAUGGAAGAUCUUUCCUUUGUCGU